AUGGAUAAAUCAGGGUCAGCAAGAAAUGAAGCAGCAGACAAUGACUGGUAAAUGACCCAAAUAAACUAGGCCAACAACAAGAUUUUUAAACAGAGAGAUGUUAGAGCCACAAUACUUGCUGGAGGCACAGAGAAGUUGUCGGCCGUUUUUCAGGCCAGCUUCACCCUCCUGUGAGUGACAAGAGCGAGGCUCUUUCCAGAAAGGACUCACUUCAGGAGCAGACCAUCUGGAUGCUGUCUCAGAGCUGCACAGAAGAAAGUGUGAGAGAGAAAAUAAAAACCAAGAAAUAGCAAGAAGCUUUAGGGGCAACACAGAAGUGGAAAAGGAAAAUUCAGGCCAGUAAAAAAAAAUAAAUUAAAAAAUAUAUAAAAAAUAUACAUAUAUAAAAUAUAACACUUUCUGGUUGAUUUGCACACCACUAGUGUUUUGGGGAAUGUCAGCAGAGGACAUUCUUAAGUCAGUUGUGGUGCUCAUGUUUCAGUACUCAUAAACAAUCAGUUACUAGAAAAAUAAGAUAAUUAUUGUGAGAAAGAGCAGAACUCAUUCCAAUCACUUUGCCACAGGUCUGUGUUCAGAACAACCCUUCCCAUAUACGGAUGUUUCACAGCAAAUUGUAUAUAAAACCAAGGAGAGCUACAUGCUGUGCAGCAGAAGCACUGUCAGAAAGGAAGAAUAACAAAGAGGACGCUGUGGAUGGGUGCCUAGAACUGAAGUUACACAACAUGCCUGGGGUAGGACAGUGGUAAUCAUAUCACAGCACCCAGCAUGCUACAUCAGGCAGGAGAAAUGCAGAAGGUGUGGGGCCUUCAGCUUAAUUAUCUCCUUAGAUAAAUCCACAUCUAGGAGAAAAGAGAAAAAGACAACAAAGAACAUUUCAGAUUACAGCUGUGACACCACUCUGAGAGCAAAAGACCUGGGGCUGUCAGGUAAGCUAAGCAGUUUCCCUGCAUCAAUCUACAAUGAACUACGUAAGCCACUUAUACCAGAGACUGUUCAAGCCAUUCUCCAUUAGAAUGGCAUAUUCUGAUCUCCCCAGUUUUAUUAAGCAAGUUGAACCUUAAUAACACACUGAGAAGCUGAAUGGGCUAAUGAAGCAGAUUGCACGAUCUGGAAUUGCUCCCUUACAGGUAAAGCUCUGAACCACAGACAGCAAGAGGAUUUUUUCCAUUUUACAUGGCUACAUUUUGCUGUUGUUGCAGUGCUCUCUUAUACAGUUAUCUGGCUCUGUAUGAACCACAUGCUGAAGAGAAAUAACAUCUCAGUUAAAAAAGCUGAUCAGCUUUUCAUGCCACAGGGAAAAAAAAAAAAAGUUUCUCCUGAAUACUACAAAAAUCUUUUAAUUGCAUUUCCACACUAAAUGGAUCAGUAGUCUAAAACAGUUUUCUAGUGUACCAGAGGAUGCAGAAAAUAUUUCCACAAUACAACUUUCCAAAGUACAAGCUUAUUUUUACCGAGGGGAAAAGCAUUGUGGGGGAAGCAUAGUUACUUUCAAUGUACUAUAGUCCUUGACUAUAUGUCACGUUGCUUGCACUGUGCUGUCAGGUGGAAUACAACAUUGUUAUAAUGCUAGAAUUAAGGCUUCUGUACUGAGAAUGGCUGGGGGUUUGUUUAGUUCUUGCAGCACUUAAAACAUUCCCCUUUCUAUCCCAGAAGAGAUAUCUGGUCAUUUAACUCUAUCCUUCCUGCUUUUUUUUUUUUUUUCCCCCCACAUGUAAGCG
rnacentral:lncRNA from 1 species